UAAGACGGACCACACGAACGUUAUUCGGAAUUACUGGGCUUAAAGGGUGCGUAGGCCGUGCAGAAAGUUGGGUGUGAAAGCCCUCGGCUCAACCGAGGAAUUGCGCCCAAAACUACUGUGCUCGAGGGAGAUAGAGGUGAGCGGAACUUAGGGUGGAGCGGUGAAAUGCGUUGAUAUCCUAAGGAACACCGGUGGCGAAAGCGGCUCACUGGAUCUCUUCUGACGCUGAGGCACGAAAGCUAGGGUAGCGAACGGGAUUAGAUACCCCGGUAGUCCUAGCCGUAAACUCUGAGCACUGGGUUGAAGGCCCCCUCAUAGGCUUUCAGCCGUAGCGAAAGUGUUAAGUGCUCCGCCUGGGGAGUAUGGUCGCAAGGCUG
rnacentral:rRNA from 1 species